GGUAUGGGUCCUUAAGAAUCCUAUCACUUCUAAACUCAAAGAUUACUUUGUCAUUUUCAAAUUGAAGAUUCUUAGGUGGGACAUUGGAUUGAUGACUAGGUCUGGGUGGUUGGUGGAUGGGUAGGUCAUUUUUAAAAUUCGAUAUUGGUUGGCUCGAUAAUUGACCUAGUUCUCUUCUCAUGGUAGACUCAGCUAAUUGACCUAUUUGUGCUUCUA
rnacentral:lncRNA from 1 species